GAGAAAAUCCCGCUCUCACUUUUCCCGGCGCCGGAUGGAUCCUUCCUGACUUCCGGCGGAGUUCAGGUGUCCUCGCAUGGCUUUGUGGGAGAGAGUCAACAGCAGGUGGCAGUGCUAGCAAAGGUUGUGACUCUGGAUAUGCAAUCAACUUGGGAAAAGGGAUGACAUCUUUCAAACCAGAGUUUUUAACAGAAGUAGACUCAGAAGUGGACUCUGAAGAGGCUGACUGACAUCCCCCGGAGCUCUCAUUUGACACAGGUGUGGUGCCCGCAAAAGCCCUUUCCGCUUACUGUCUCCGUGGAGCAUCUGAAGGUCAUCUUGGGAGAAGCGAGCAGAGACACAUGGGAACCUCAUACCACCAAGAAAGCAGUGCCAGG